UUCCAAAAAUUUCAAAACACGCGCCCUUCCAUGGUUCCCAAAUUUUUUAAACAAAAAAAGUAAAACAAAAAUUAGAAAAAACACAAACAAUUUCCUGGUUCAUUACUCCACCGAAGAAACAGAGAGGAGAGAGACUGAGAGCGUUUACAAAGUUAGGGUUUCGAAGGAUCGAAGGAUUUGAUCUGCAAUUCACAAUUUGGUCCGAACCAAUCGAAUUUCUUGCAAGUUCUAGCCAUUGGCUGCGAAAAUUCUCUCUCACGUCCCCGAAUUGAGUCACAGGGUUGAAUUGGGGAAACUUACGAGGGUAAUCGAACAAAUUACGAGUAAUGGUGUAGGGGGACAAUGCUGUGAUUCGAACAUGGGGUGAAAAGAGAACAGAGUUAAAGUUGAAAAAUCAUGUUGAGCUUGUUGAGCUUUUGGCGAUAGUAGAUACAAAGAAAGGCUCUAAUGUUGCUGGGGCUAGAGGUUUUUACUUGAAAGGCGAUGGUGUGCUUCUAAAUCAAGCUCUUUGAAGAGCUUAGAUAGGAAUAAAUUGCUUUUGUAUUUAUGAGAUCUGGUGGGGAAGAGGUCAGAGCCAUUCAGAGGAGGAGGAGAACUCAGCGGGCUAUAUAUGGAAGGGUAUUUCAUAUAUAGAGAUAUUGAAUCUAACUGUGCAACCCUCCACAGUCUCUACCAAGCAAAAACCAUUAACGAGUUGCCUACCUUCUGAUCCAGCUCAUAGUAAACUUCCAUUUUAUUUAGGGGUUUCAUAUCAAGGUCGAUGAAAAAUGCCUGCAAGAGUGCGUAGAUCACAACUCACAAGGAACUUAGGGAAGAUAAUUGAAUACAGGUAGUUCUUGUUCUUCAGAUAGUUGAUGGUUCUUCCGCCGCUGUCGCAAUUUUAUCUCUCUAAUGUAUUCGCUAUCAAACCCUGCCGUUUAUCCGUCUUCUUCAAUCGUGGUCCACAAUUUUAUCUCUCUUAUAUGUUAUCUCUCUUAUAAUUAGGUCUUUCUUAUUAAUUCGAUGUGAUUUUUAUAGCAAUGUUUUUCUGAUUUCAGAUUUGGUGAGGAAGCUCUCUCCUUUUCAUCCAACUUUUCUGCAUUAACAACCUCAAAUUAGGUUUAUGAUAUUGUCUAAUUUCUUUAGGUUAGAUAUGUGAGACAUUUAAUUCAAUUAACGCAAAAUUAAACCAUUUUUUUUUGUUUUGGUUGUGGAUUGGCAUGGUCGAGGUUUGAUAUAUCGACCAAAAUUUGUGUUUUUCGGAUGCUCUAUUGCGCUUAAAUAAGGCAUCAAGUUCUUGAUAUUGCAGUGAACUCCUAUUGUGCAGUCACCCAACUUAUUUUAGCUAAUCUGCUAAAGAAGAACGAGAAAUUUACAGGGAGAGUGUAUGGGUCUUUCCCCUAAUUAACAUGCAAUUGAUGCAGGUGACAAACAAAAGACUGAAUAAGUCGCCCCUCACCUUCAUGUGUGAUAUAUGCUUUGCGUCGUUGUUAGUAUCACUACUUCUCAUCCACCAAAGGGGUUGCUGAGAAUAGAUAACGAAAAGCCCAAAUUAAGAGAUUUGUUGGGAGAGCUUUUCUCCUAGUCGGGUGCAGAUUACUCAAGUCUAAUAGGCUUUUGAUUACAAGUACCCUACAGAAUGACUUCUUACUAGGAGCAUGGUGAGCUAUAUGGAGGAGAAAUGUAGAUCUAGCAAUAUGAGACGGUGGGGGCUCUUGUUUGUUUUUGGGUCAUUUUGUGAUUUCUAGUAAUGUUGAAUUUCUUUCUAUGGAUUUAAAUUUUAUGUAACUUUUUCAUUAAAAACACUAAAUUAAUUAGUGAACAACUAUUUUGUACAUGUGUCCUAUGGGAACUAAUAUUGUAAUAUUACUCUUUAAGUCAAUGAAAAUCUUUUGUUAUUGA